rnacentral:rRNA from 1 species
UACGAAGGGGGCUAGCGUUGCUCGGAAUCACUGGGCGUAAAGCGCACGUAGUCGGCUUUGCAAGUCGGGUGUGAAAUCCCCGGGCUCAACCUGGGAACUGCAUCCGAGACUGCAUUGCUAGAGUAUGGGAGAGGGAAGCGGAAUUUCUGGUGUAGCAGUGAAAUGCGUAGAUAUCAGAAGGAACAUCAGUGGCGAAGGCGGCUUCCUGGACCAAUACUGACGAUCAGGUGCGAAAGCGUGGGGAGCAAACAGG